UGGCGUUGUCGCGCAAGAGUUUUGUAUAUAGUGAAAAAAGCUGCGUAACGACACUGUAAUGUGCUACAGUUAUAAUCGUUCAGAGACUAACAAUAAGAAGACGAUUGGAUGUGAAAGUAGCUGUUCCUUAUUCUUACGUAUGUCUUCAAUCUAACGAUCUCUAACAAGACUUAAAAAGGGCUCCGCGGGAGGGCGAACGAAAUCAUAGGGUUAAGGAAGAACUCCCUUAAUGGGCACUCCGGGUUCGCGCGCGGGAAGCAGACGGGCCCUCUUCCGGAGAAAGGGCAGAUGCCAGCUGCUUCUAAUUGAGACAUCAGUGUCGAUAUAAACCGGCCGCCCAGGCGCGACGUGAAUCGACGCGUGAAACGCAAAGGCGUGCCCUGCCCCUUCCCCUCUCUAUGGUAUGGAUAUACACACGCACAGUCUCGAGGACAGGUAACGAACCAAGUACUGGUCCUGUAAGUAAAUCAGUGUAACAAGCCGUCCUAUCUAUCGUUCAAGUGGAAGCUGCGCGAGCAGCGGGGAGGCAGCUUUGAGCCAGAAGGCAGAACCCGGAACUUCUUCGUUCACGCUCGAACUGGUUCCUUCGAUUUGGCUUAAGGGCCCGAUCC